rnacentral:rRNA from 1 species
GUGCCAGCAGCUGCGGUAAUACAUAGGUGGCAAGCGUUAUCCGGAUUUAUUGGGCGUAUAGGGUGCGUAGCGGUUUGCAGUUUGUGGUCAAAUCCCGAGGCUCAACCUCGGUUCGCCAUGGAAAACUGCAUCACUAGAAUACAAGAGAGGUAAACGGAAUUCCAUGUGUAGCGGUGAAAUGCGUAGAUAUAUGGAAGAACACCUGUGGCGAAAGCGGUUUACUGGCUUGUUAUUGACGCUGAGGCACGAAAGCGUGGGAGCAAUAGGAUUAGAUACCCUAGUAGUCCACGCCG